GAGCCCCGUCAACUAUUACGGAAUUAGUGGAGGAUUAGUAGCUUGCGAUCGUCACUUGGCUUUGUUAACUUCUGCUGUGAGACAAUACAAACCGCAUCACCUCAUUGUGUGUCUAGGAGGUAACGAUUUGGAUGUUAUAGAUUCAGACUGGAGCGCAGAGUGUGUGGUUUCAAAACUUGUUUCAUUCCUAACGCAGCUAAGGAACCGAUUCUUGUUAAAAACUGUAACUGUCCUCAGCUAUUUUCCUAGACAAAGAACUAGGUCCAUUCCGCCUGACACUUACAGGUUUAGAGUUAAGGAAACAAACAGCCUACUACAGGACAAUUGUAAAUAUCACCAGUUGACUUUCUGGAGAUUAAGAGGAUUCACUGAAAGUAAACAACCGAUUUUCUGUGACGGUGUCCAUCUUAAUUACUACGGCUUCCAGAAACUGAUAAGACAAUUAAGGGGAAUUCUCCUCGCUCAUCGCCAUUCACGUUGUUAAUUCCUGUUAUUUAGAGUACUUGAUCAUCAAGGUACAAUUGUCUACCAAGCAUUCAUAUCUUGAAUAUUUGGCUUGAAAAAGCAUGGCUUACAGACCAAAAAGGAAGAGGGCGAACAAAACUGAUAGAUAAGCGACCAUUACAACGGUGACAAGCCCAGAGCCAGCAUUGCCAUCUCCAGACGUUGAAGGAAUGGUGAGGGCAUGUAUGACAGCGUUAAUUCCCUCAAUUGAGAAAACCUGCCGUGACAUCAUCACACAACACACAUUAGUGCCGGCACAAACUACGAGCCCAGAAGCCACUACCUCAUCCACCACGUCCACACCAGCAAAGGAGACCACCACUGAGGGAAGCGAACAGCAGCCCGGACAAUCGCUCCUCCAAGAGAUAACAGGUAUCUCAUCAU